CACCGGGACUUAUGCUAUCGAUGGUUGUGCAACAUUUUUCCGAAGGGACAGAUUUUCCCAUGUGAAGAAAUACGAGGUCGAAUUCAACAAGGCUGCUCAGUCACUGACAGAUGCUGUGGUCCCAAUCACUCAGAAGAAAGCUGCUUUGUCUCGACUUCUUAAGGAUAAUGUUGCGCUAAUAGCGGUUCUGGAAGCAAAAUUUAGCAACCACGGAGCCGAUACUCCUGGAAAGCGGCAGCUUCUUUGUGUGAUUUGUACUCUACCUGGAAGCAGUGCAGCAAAUAUGUACU